rnacentral:lncRNA from 1 species
UUUCCUAAUUAGUUGAGACAAACCUUAAAUGAUCAGGCCAAAAAUCAGUAUCUGCAUUUGUAGCCGAGUAACAGUAAGAGCCGAACACCAAAAAUAUCAGUUCUGAAAAGCUUUAUGAGAAUUAAAUUAGUUAUGAAACACCAAAAUCAUUUUUUUCUGAGAAGAAAAACCAAACACAAACAGUUGCUUCCGACCUCCUAUUUUUCAUGUACAGAGCAUUAGGCUAAUAUGUGAAUCUACACUCAGAAACUACCAUGAAAGACAAAGCAUUGGGCUAAUCAUAUGGGAAUUUACAUCGACUGGUCCGCUGCAAAACUAAAAACAAAAGUUGGUUCAAUUGGUCAAUUAAUCGAGAAGGAUCAUAUGGUGUUAGCGUAUGCACCUUCGAAUUUGGAUUAGCCAUACCUUGUGUUGGGGGCAAGAUAUUAGCUUGGUUCUGGUUGUGGUGCGCCGCCUUUUUGAAGAAGCCGCCGGUGGGGUUGGUGGCUGUUGUGCCGGAGUGGGCCUUCUUCUCUGGAGGAAGGAGUUGACGGCUGAUUGUUGCUUGACAACUAAAUCCGUUUUCUAGUUGCUAACAAAAAACUUAAUCCGUCCUCUUCCCGUAUGAGAUGAUGAUGAUUUGAGACAUGCC